rnacentral:rRNA from 1 species
AGAUUGAACGCUGGCGGCAUGCUUUACACAUGCAAGUCGAACGGUAACAGGCCGCAAGGUGCUGACGAGUGGCGAACGGGUGAGUAAUGCAUCGGAACGUGCCCAGUCGUGGGGGAUAACGCAGCGAAAGCUGUGCUAAUACCGCAUACGAUCUAUGGAUGAAAGCGGGGGACCGAAAGGCCUCGCGCGAUUCGGAGCGGCCGAUGUCAGAUUAGCUAGUUGGUGGGGUAAAGGCCCACCAAGGCGACGAUCUGUAGCUGGUCUGAGAGGACGACCAGCCACACUGGAACUGAGACACGGU